rnacentral:rRNA from 1 species
UACAGAGGUCUCAAGCGUUGUUCGGAUUCAUUGGGCGUAAAGGGUGCGUAGGCGGCGCGGUAAGUCGGGUGUGAAAUCUCGGAGCUUAACUCCGAAACUGCAUUCGAUACUGAGGAGCUUGAGUCCGGGAGAGGUGAGUGGAACUGCGAGUGUAGAGGUGAAAUUCGUAGAUAUUCGCAAGAACACCAGUGGCGAAGGCGGCUCACUGGCCCGGUACUGACGCUGAGGCGGCGAAAGCGUGGGGAGCAAACAGG